rnacentral:lncRNA from 1 species
UGAAGGUUAGAAUGGACAAUUGGUUUGAAAUUAUCAGCUCCAAAGGUGAAGGCCGUUGCUCCAGUUGAAUCACCUCCAAUGGAUUGUGUACUAAUUUUCCUCUGAUUAUCCUCUUGAGAAAAAAGUGCAAAAACUUUGUUAAUAGGAGGUAGAGGAUCCAUAAGUAGUAUCUGGCCCUGAGCUUGAGAAAAUGAGCCAUUCAAUCCCAUAAGAAAUGACAUAAUGUACUCCAUUUGAUGAUGUUUAUUCAGCUCCUUAACCCCCCUCCCCCGUAAGUACAUUUUCCACAGGUGCAAUUGGGCCAAAAAUUAUUCAACUCUUCCCACACGGUUUUGAGCUUAGUGAAAUACACACUCACAGUGCUUUGAUCCUGGAGUAAAUUCACCAGCUUCCUCCUUAGCUGGAAGAUUCGCGGUCCAUUACUUUGUUGAUAUCGUUUCUUGAGAUCAUUCCACAUCUCAUCUGUUGUGUUUGCAUAUCACACUAACCGAGAUCUCUUUUGAGACUGAAAUUAGAAUCCAAGAUAUCACCAUAUUAUUGUUUUGAGUCCAAGAACUUACUAAAUCAGGAUCUGUAUCUCCUGGUUUUUCAAUGGAUCCAUCAAUGAAAGACGGCUUGUUCUUGACUGAUA